ACGGGUGAGUAAUAUAUCGGAACAUACCCUAGAGUGGGGGAUAACGUAGCGAAAGUUACGCUAAUACCGCAUACGAUCUAAGGAUGAAAGCGGGGGAUCGCAAGACCUCGUGCUCAUGGAGUGGCCGAUAUCUGAUUAGCUAGUUGGUAGGGUAAAAGCCUACCAAGGCGACGAUCAGUAGCUGGUUUGAGAGAACGACCAGCCACACUGGAACUGAGACACGGUCCAGACUCCUACGGGAGGCAGCAGUGGGGAAUUUUGGACAAUGGGGGCAACCCUGAUCCAGCAAUGCCGCGUGAGUGAAGAAGGCCUUCGGGUUGUAAAGCUCUUUUGUCAGGGAAGAAACGGUGAGUUCUAAUACAACUUGCUAAUGACGGUACCUGAAGAAUAAGCACCGGCUAACUACGUGCCAGCAGCCGCGGUAAUACGUAGGGUGCAAGCGUUAAUCGGAAUUACUGGGCGUAAAGCGUGCGCAGGCGGUUUUAUAAGUCUGAUGUGAAAUCCCCGGGCUCAACCUGGGAACUGCAUUGGAGACUGUAAGGCUAGAGUGUGUCAGAGGGGGGUAGAAUUCCACGUGUAGCAGU
rnacentral:rRNA from 2 species